rnacentral:rRNA from 1 species
GACGAACGCUGGCGGCGUGCUUAACACAUGCGAGUCGAACGGAAAGGCCUCUUUCGGGGGGUACUCGAGAGGCGAACGGGUGAGUAACACGUGAGUAUACUGCCCUUGACAUUGGGAUAAAUUUUGGAAACUGGGGCUAAUACCGGAUAGGAGAUCCUGCUGCAUGGUGGGGGGUGGAAAGUUUCGGCGGUUGGGGAUGGGCUCGCGGCGUAUCAACGUGUUUGUGGGGUGGUGGCUUACCAAGGCGUUGACGGGGAGCCGGCCUGGGAGGGUGACCGGGCACAAUGGGGCUGAGAUACGGGCCAGACUCCCACGGGGAGCAGCAAGUGGGAAUAUUGCACAAUGGGUGGGAACCUGGUGCAAGAACGCCGGGUGCGGGGUGACGGCCUUCGGGUUUGAAACCGCUUUCGGUCUGGACGGAACUUUGUGUGACGGUAGUGGGUAAAGAAGCACCGGCUAACUACGUG